rnacentral:rRNA from 1 species
UACGUAGGGGGCAAGCGUUGUCCGGAAUCAUUGGCGUAAGAAGCGUGUAGGCUGUUCGACCAGUUUGCUGUAAAGUCGGGGGCUCAACCUCCGAAAGCCGGUGAAUACUACUCGAACUGAGAGAUACGGAAGAGGCGAGUGGAAUUCCUGGUGUAGCGGUGAAAUGCGCAGAUAUCAGGAGGAACACCUAUUGGCGAAGCAGCUCGCUGGUACGUUACUGACACUAAGGCGCGAAAGCGAUGGGGAGCCGAACGAGGA